rnacentral:rRNA from 1 species
UACGUAGGGUCCGAGCGUUGUCCGGAAUUAUUGGGCGUAAAGGGCUCGUAGGCGGUCUGUCGCGUCGGGAGUGAAAAGCUGGGGCUUAACCCCAGUCCUGCUUCCGAUACGGGUGGACUAGAGGUAGGUAGGGGAGAACGGAAUUCCUGGUGUAGCGGUGAAAUGCGCAGAUAUCAGGAGGAACACCAGUGGCGAAGGCGGCUGCCUGGGCCUGGCCUGACGCUGAGGCGCGAAAGCGUGGGGAGCAAUCCGG